GCCCUGGUUGAUUAAUGGUAAAUCACCCACACCCCUUAAAUGAAGAUGCUAGGACGGAUUGAGGUGGGAGAUGGAGGUUCGAAUCCUCCCGAGGACA